UUUAGAGUUUUGGAUUCUGGCUCAGGACGAACGCUGGCGGCGUGCUUUAACACAUGCAAGUCGAACGGAAAGGCCCUUCGGGGUGCUCGAGUGGCGAACGGGUGAGUAACACGUGGGUGAUCUGCCCUGCACUUUGGGAUAAGCCUGGGAAACUGGGUCUAAUACCGAAUAGGACCACGGCAUUCAUGUGCUGUGGUGGAAAGCUUUUGCGGUGUGGGAUGGGCCCGCGCGCCUAUCAGCUUGUUGGUGGGGUAAUGGCCUACCAAGGCGACGACGGGUAGCCGGCCUGAGAGGGUGACCGGCCACACUGGGACUGAGAUACGGCCCAGACUCCUACGGGAGGCAGCAGUGGGGAAUAUUGCACAAUGGGCGCAAGCCUGAUGCAGCGACGCCGCGUGAGGGAUGACGGCCUUCGGGUUGUAAACCUCUUUCAGUACCGACGAAGCGCGAGUGACGGUAGGUACAGAAGAAGGACCGGCCAACUACGUGCCAGCAGCCGCGGUAAUACGUAGGGUCCGAGCGUUGUCCGGAAUUACUGGGCGUAAAGAGCUCGUAGGUGGUUUGUCGCGUUGUUCGUGAAAACUCACAGCUUAACUGUGGGCGUGCGGGCGAUACGGGCAGACUGGAGUACUGCAGGGGAGACUGGAAUUCCUGGUGUAGCGGUGGAAUGCGCAGAUAUCAGGAGGAACACCGGUGGCGAAGGCGGGUCUCUGGGCAGUAACUGACGCUGAGGAGCGAAAGCGUGGGGAGCGAACAGGAUUAGAUACCCUGGUAGUCCACGCCGUAAACGGUGGGUACUAGGUGUGGGUUUCCUUCCUUGGGAUCCGUGCCGUAGCUAACGCAUUAAGUACCCCGCCUGGGGAGUACGGCCGCAAGGCUAAAACUCAAAGGAAUUGACGGGGGCCCGCACAAGCGGCGGAGCAUGUGGAUUAAUUCGAUGCAACGCGAAGAACCUUACCUGGGUUUGACAUGCACAGGACGUGCCUAGAGAUAGGUAUUCCCUUGUGGCCUGUGUGCAGGUGGUGCAUGGCUGUCGUCAGCUCGUGUCGUGAGAUGUUGGGUUAAGUCCCGCAACGAGCGCAACCCUUGUCUCAUGUUGCCAGCACGGUUUAUGGGUGGGGACUCGUGAGAGACUGCCGGGGUCAACUCGGAGGAAGGUGGGGAUGACGUCAAGUCAUCAUGCCCCUUAUGUCCAGGGCUUCACACAUGCUACAAUGGCCGGUACAAAGGGCUGCGAUGCCGUAAGGUGGAGCGAAUCCUUUCAAAGCCGGUCUACAGUUCGGAUCGGGGUCUGCAACUCGACCCCGUGAAGUCGGAGUCGCUAGUAAUCGCAGAUCAGCAACGCUGCGGUGAAUACGUUCCCGGGCCUUGUACACACCGCCCGUCACGUCAUGAAAGUCGGUAACACCCGAAGCCGGUGGCCUAACCCCUUGUGGGAGGGAGCCGUCGAGAGGUGGGAUCGGCGAUUGGGACGAAGUCGUACAAAGGUAACCA
rnacentral:rRNA from 1 species